rnacentral:snRNA from 1 species
GUGCUUUCUUCAGCAGCACGUAUAUUAAAAUUGAAAUGAUGCAGAGAAGAUUAGCAUGGCCUCUGCACAAGGAUGACAUGCAAAUUCAUGAAGCGUUCCAUAUUUUU